rnacentral:rRNA from 1 species
GAUGAACGCUGGCGGCGUGCCUAAUACAUGCAAGUCGAGCGAACAGACGAGGAACUUGCUCCUCUGACGUUAGCGGCGGACGGGUGAGUAACACGUGGAUAACCUACCUAUAAGACUGGGAUAACUUCGGGAAACCGGAGCUAAUACCGGAUAAUAUAUUGAACCGCAUGGUUCAAUAGUGAAAGACGGUUUUGCUGUCACUUAUAGAUGGUUCCGCGCCGCAUUAGCUAGUUGGUAAGGUAACGGCUUACCAAGGCAACGAUGCGUAGCCGACCUGAGAGGGUGAUCGGCCACACUGGAACUGAGACACGGUCCAGACUCCUACGGGAGGCAGCAGUAGGGAAUCUUCCGCAAUGGGCGAAAGCCUGACGGAGCAACGCCGCGGGAGUGAUGAAGGUCUUCGGAUCGUAAAACUCUGUUAUUAGGGAAGAAUAAAUGUGUAAGUAACUAUGCACGUCUUGACGGUACCUAAUCAGAAAGCCACGGCUAACUACGUG